CCUACGGGUGGCAGCAGUGAGGAAUAUUGGUCAAUGGGCGGGAGCCUGAACCAGCCAAGUCGCGUGAGGGAAGACGGUCCUAUGGAUUGUAAACCUCUUUAGGCGGGGAGCAAUGCCGGGCACGUGUGCCCGGAGGGAGAGUACCCGCAGAAUAAGCAUCGGCUAACUCCGUGCCAGCAGCCGCGGUAAUACGGAGGAUGCGAGCGUUAUCCGGAUUGAUUGGGGUUAAAGGGUGCGUAGGCGGAUUUUUAAGUCAGCGGUAAAAUGUCCGGGAUCAACCCGGGGCGGCCGUUGAAACUGGGGAGCUUGAGUGGGCGAGAAGUAUGCGGAAUGCGUGGUGUAGCGGUGAAAUGCAUAGAUAUCACGCAGAACUCCGAUUGCGAAGGCAGCAUACCGGCGCCCGACUGACGCUGAGGCACGAAAGCGUGGGGAUCGAACAGGAUUAGAUACCCCUGGUAGUC
rnacentral:rRNA from 1 species